GAUGCCUCAGCCUUCACGCGGUAUGUCAACAGGGCAAUGCAGUCUAGACAUUCAACGUCGUCUUAAGGCUUAUAAUCUACAGGAAUAUGAAGCUGAUUCUGAUAAGCAGUUAUGUGGUCAUGCCACUGAUUACAACUCAGAUACCCGCGGUCCGAUGACUAGACCUCAAAGUUUUGCCCCUCUUAGUUGCGGAGAACCAAGACCAGCUGAAUUUGGACUUCCCUUCUCCUCAGCAGAGAGUGACGCCUCUCUCUAUACCAGUGAGAGGUAUCAGGUUUGAGGGACCAACCUGUGCCUACAGUUCUAGGAUUGCUCCAAUACUUCGUAUGCCAUCUGGAAUUUCACCACUGCAGAGUCCAGGUUCGGGUACCCCUUGGGAAUCUUCCUGUCAGGCGAAUCCAUUCCUCAUGUUAAAUUGUGAAAGUAGGAGCUCUCAGCAGUUGCACUCACAGAGUGAUCAAAACAACAGUGACUCGACAGAUUACAAUGAGGGUAAGAGAGGACACAAUUCUGAACCUACACCUGAUUGCCAACGCUUUCCAUCUGCAACUGAUCAAACUACAAAUAGCAUUUGCUGCAAUGGUGAUCUAAACCAUGCUCAUCUGAGUUAUGGAAGCAACGGAAACAUCACACUUCCACUCAGCAAAACACCAGCAGAGUAUAGGAAAGAAGAAAGCUUUCACGCUCCUGAUGGAAAUUCUCAUCGAUCUCAAAGAGAAGCAGCUCUUACAAAAUUUCGCAUGAAGCGGAAAGAUAAGAUGCUUUGAAAAGAAGGUAAGAUAUGAAAGCAGGAAAAAAUUUGCUGAGCAGCGUCCCAAAGUGUCACGACCCAAUUUCCGAGUCAUGAUGGCACCUACCACAUCCCACCGGUAGGUAAGCCGGUACCAUAAUCCGGAGCUAUUGCAAUGGGUUACCUUGGUAAGAACGUCCAACUUGGACCCUAUAUGUGAACACAACAUAUAACAACAACAUUUCACAACUAAGGACAAUCGAUAUUCAAACACAAAUCCCACGACCUGAUAGUAUUAAUACAAGAGCUUCUAAACUUGACAAGAGGACUUUACAAUCUCAGAAUCUAAAAUGCCUUACACAAUCUCAUACAUUUGUCUCGAAAGCAAAAGACAAAUAAGGAUAGAAGAGAUAGAGGGCAACUCGAUCCCCAAGAGCUCACCCUGUCUCCGAAUAGUCAACUCGUACGAACUAGCUCAACGGCGGCAACUAGAACCUAGGCCUGCACCAAAAAGGUAUAGAAGUGUAGUAUGAGUACCAAAACACUGGUACUCAGUAGGCAUCAUCGGCCGACUGAGCUCAAAUAUAAUGUAUAGACGAUAUAAAGAAAGACAAUGACCUUAAAGUCAAGGGAUAGGAUCGUAUCUGAAUCUACUUUGAUACCACUGUAACAUCUGUACUAUUAAAGCAAUAACAUGACAUACUAUUUCAAUAUA